rnacentral:rRNA from 1 species
UACGGGAGGCAGCAGUGGGAAUAUUGCACAAUGGGCGCAAGCCUGAUGCAGGCCAUGCCGCGUGUAUGAAGAAGGCCUUCGGGUUGUAAAGUACUUUCAGUCGUGAGGAAGGUGUUAAGGUUAAUAACCUUAGCAAUUGACGUUAGCGACAGAAGAAGCACCGGCUAACUCCGUGCCAGCAGCCGCGGUAAUACGGAGGGUGCGAGCGUUAAUCGGAAUUACUGGGCGUAAAGGGCACGCAGGCGGUUAAUUAAGUUGGAUGUGAAAUCCCCGGGCUUAACCUGGGAAUGGCAUUCAAGACUGGUUAGCUAGAGUCUUGUAGAGGGGGUAGAAUUCCAUGUGUAGCGGUGAAAUGCGUAGAGAUGUGGAGGAAUACCGGUGGCGAAGGCGGCCCCUGGACAAAGACUGACGCUCAUGUGCGAAAGCGUGGGGAGCAAACAGGGAUUAGAUACC